UGUCUGUAACUUCCUCUGGAAGCUUCAUCCCAGAGGGGCACCUGCCAGAUGCCAGCCGGAGCUCUCCUCUAUGAGUGAAUGAAGGAGGGAAGAAAGGAGAGACAGAGAAAAUAUGGGAAGUAUGCAGCUGGCAUCAGAAGCUGGAAGAUAGGAUCUUCCCGGAUCACAGCUCCUGUUCAGAAAGUCUGAGGAUGUCAGACUGAGACUGUUGAGUCUGAGGAUGUCAGACUGAGAUUGUUGAGUCUCAGGAUGUUGCAGGACAGGAUGGAUGAAGAAUGCUAGUCCUGGCAGUUGGGGCCUAAGGCCAGGGCCCUUUUUUAUCACUUUCUUGUGUUGCCUCUCUGCCCAAGAAAAAAUCUGUCUCUUGCAUACAGCUCCUCUAAUACGUGUCCAUUAGAAGGAAGGAGUUUCUUUAAUGAGCUCUAUGGUUUUAUCUUGCUCAUAACAGCUUAGUUUAAUGCCACUGAAACUGUAACAUUUUUUUGUGCCUAAUAUCAACUGACAAAUAUAAAGUUAUUCCUAAUUUAUUAAUUCAAAUGAUAUAUUGCAAAAUAAAAUCUGCUUAAUAUGAAAAGAA
rnacentral:lncRNA from 1 species